UGUGGGGCUCUGUGCUUGGAGCCUGCUUCAGAUUCUGUGUCUCCUUCUCUCCCUGCCCCUCACCUGCUCACACUCUCUCUCAAAAAUAAAUGAGCAUUAAAAAAAAACUUAAAAAAUAAAUAAAUACGGUAAAAUAAUAGUACAUUUUCUUCAAUUAUACUUUCAUCUCUGUCUCUGGACAUAGAUCCAAUUUGGGGGAUGAGGCCAAGAGUAAUUUAGAGGCUAUCUGAUAAAAUGCACCAUAGCAAAAGAGACUAAGAAUAUACUUUAAUGUCUACUUAUUUUAAUAUUUUGUUAUAGAACGUGUUUGAAAUAUACCAAAGUAGAGGAAUAUUAUAUUGAACUCUCGGGUAUCCAUCACCCAACUUCUACAAUUGUCAUAGUCUGCUUAUGUUUGUUAUUUUUAAUUUUUUAAAUUUAUUUUGUAAAUGUUUAUUUAUUUUUGAGAGAGAGUGAGUGUAUGUGUGUGAGUGGGGGAGGGUCAGAGAGAGAGGGAAACAGAGGAUCUAAAGCGGACUGACAGCAGAGAGCCCCAGGUGGGGCUCAAACUCAGAAACCAUAAGAUCAUGAUCUGAGCCCAAGUUAGAUGCUUAACCAACUGAGCCGUUCAGCUGGUUAUUUUUAGAAGAAAUGUUUUUGGUAACUAUAUUGUAUUAAUAUUGCUUUCUCAUGAAUUAUUAUUCCCCAUGACCAAUCUGCUCUUUAUUCUAAAUCUAGUCCUGAAACCAAAUUAAACACAGUUAAAAAAAAAAAAAAGUUAGGGGUAGAAAAAGAAAAACGAACAAACUGAAUAUAGUUCUUCUAAUUCUAGCAGUAUCUCUUUUGUAUUAUCUUUACCAUAUAAGGCAAGUUAUGACAUAAAAUGUCUUAUAAAUUCUCAAUGGCUAAAGGGGAUUCUAGACUAUUGAAGUUACUUUUCUUUCACCACACUAGUGUUGUAAUGAUUAUCCUACGUUGUAUUCUUUGGUGAACCUCUGGACAAAAUUGAAUCAGUUUCAAUCCAGGCAGGUUGGGCCUGGGGAUAUCUGCAGCAUCUACAAGAAGAGGAGAAGAAGCCUUCAAACAACUGUAACAGUGAGACUUGUACUAAAACAAUUUUGUGGACAAAAUUGAGGGAUUUCAAAGAUUAAUGGCAAAAUCAACAAAAGUAGAGAAAAAUUCAGCCUACAAGAGGUUCCAGAGAGUUCCCUAGCUUCUUCCAGCAUGUGAGGAUACAAUCGGAAGUCUGAGACAUGGAAGACGGUCCUCACCAACCCUGCUGGCACUCUGAGCUCAGACUUCCAUCCUCCAGAACUGUGAGAAAUAAAUUUCUGUUGUUUAUAAGCCA